UCCUUGGUGGCUCAGAGGGUAAAGCGUCUGCCUACAAUGCAGGAGACUUGGGUUCAAUCCCUGGGUCAGGAA
rnacentral:tRNA from 1 species